rnacentral:rRNA from 1 species
ACUCCUACGGGAGGCAGCAGUGGGGAAUAUUGCACAAUGGGGGAAACCCUGAUGCAGCGACGCCGCGUGGAGGAUGAAGGUCUUCGGGUUGUAAACUCCUUUUCUUGGGAAAGAUGAUGACGGUACCCAAGGAAUAAGCCACGGCUAACUCUGUGCCAGCAGCCGCGGUAAGACAGAGGUGGCAAGCGUUGUUCGGAAUUACUGGGCUUAAAGGGCGAGUAGGCGGUGGAGCAAGUCUGAGGUGGAAUCCUAUGGCUUAACCAUAGAACUGCCUUAGAAACUGUUUUACUUGAGUCAGUGAGGGGAGGGCGGAAUUCCUGGUGUAGCGGUGAAAUGCGUAGAUAUCAGGAGGAAGGCCUGUGGCGAAGGCGGCCCUCUGGCACUGUACUGACGCUGAGGCGCGAAAGCGUGGGGAGCAAACAGGAUUAGAUACCCUGGUAGUCCACGCCCUAAACGGUGGGCAUUAGGUGUAGGGCUCGUAAGGGUUCUGUGCCGAAGGGAAACCAUUAAAUGCCCCGCCUGGGGA